rnacentral:rRNA from 1 species
UACGUAGGGUGCGAGCGUUAAUCGGAAUUACUGGGCGUAAAGCGUGCGCAGGCGGUUCGUUAAGUCAGCUGUGAAAGCCCCGGGCUCAACCCGGGAAUGGCGGUUGAAACUGGCGAACUAGAAUCUGGCAGAGGGGGGUGGAAUUCCACGUGUAGCAGUGAAAUGCGUAGAGAUGUGGAGGAACACCGAUGGCGAAGGCAGCCCCCUGGGCUGAGAUUGACGCUCAGGCACGAAAGCGUGGGGAGCAAACAGG